rnacentral:lncRNA from 13 species
CCUGGGGGUACCUAGGGUAUAGGUAUGGGGGUACUCUGAUGGGGUCAUCAGAGCCUCCUGCAUGGGGAGGCUGUGGCACAUCACAGCUGGAGGCCUCUCUGAGGUACAGAGCACCUCCUGGGCUGCCACAGAAUGGGAAAGUGUCAGUCUCUACAAGGUAAAAACGACUCAAGUUGGGAAAACUAUUAGGUACAGGGAAACCACCAGGGUCAGGCAGUGCACCACACCCAGGCCCCAGGGCAAGGGCCACCCCCAGGCAGAAGGUAUAAGGGAGGGCGUAAGCAGAAAGGAGGGAACCAGAAAGGAGGGAAUCAUGGAAAAGGGCCUGCCUCGGGAGACGUUUAGGACCUUCGGUCUAGGGGCACGGCCUACCCAAGGUGACCCCAAAGCCCCUUUCGAGGCAGUGAUGUGAAUAUCGGGAUUUCACCCUCCCCUCUCCCUUUCACCUACAGCUGGGGCACUCCCAACAGGAAGCCAGGGGUAUGGGAGCUGAGGAAUGGGGUCCAUCUUGCUCAGCCCCUGAAGCAGAGAGCAGGGCAGAGGGCAGGUCUGGAGGGGCAAAAGAAGGCAGGUCCAGGGCAGGGGUUCAGGCCCUGGACACACACAGCACUCCUGGGGUGCAGGGACUCUUGGGGCCUCCUCAGCCUGGGCCAAAAUGCUCCCUGGGUUCCUCUUUUCUUGCUUUACCGCUCCUGCCCUGUCUUGGGGGUGGUCAGCGUUACCUCUGGGAUGGACACAGGGUCCAUCCACACCUCUCACUCUCUGCCUCCCUUCCUCACGGCCUGUCUCUUCCUACCACCCGCCUCAGUCCCACUUCUCUUUCUUUUCUUCAGUUACUCUCUCCAUCCCAUGAAGGACCCUCCAUUGUUGUUUAUCCAGACCCAGAUUGUGUGGGCGCUGAAGCAACAGACCCGAGAGUUACCUAAGACUUUCGGGGAGGCAGGCUCGGGGCACCCCAUGCAGCCCCAGGAAGGAAGGACAUCCCCUACCCCGGCACCUGCACCCAGGGCACCAGGCUCCCCCGGGGGAGCAUCUGGCUCAGGAAUGUGGACUUUCCCAGGGGUGCAAGGGUUGGUGGGAAGAACUGUCCUUGGUCCGGGGAAUCCUGCAAUGCGCCUGAGGCCUGACAAGCACAGGAAGCUAAGGUCUGUGCUGGAGUUUCCCACCAAAGGCUCUGAGACUGGAUGUGUGUGCAACUGUUCUUCAAGCCCAUUUCUUCCAGAGUCCCUGGAAAUGGCUGGAAAUGGCUCAUUGUCAUGGUGGAAGAGCCUGCUAAUGGAGGAAAUAACCAACCACCACUGCCCCCAUCAUCAGAAACAACAGCUCUAUCACCAUAGCAACUGGUGAGCCUGGGAGGUUAAGGCCCCAGGGAGUCUCAGCAGAGGAGUAGGGGGUGGGUGGCAGCUAGGAUCAGGGUUAGGGUUAGGGUUGGACUGGGCCCAGUUGCUGAGGCCAAACAGCUGGGAAGCGUCCUUCUCCCGGACAGCCAAAUCACAAGUCAGCUCUGUUGUCUGAACCUGCCCCAUGUCCCCAGCUGCACCACCAUCCUGUCUAGCCCGGUCCAUGGUGAUGCUCUCUCACUGCCUUCCUGGUUUCCCCUCACGUGCCAUUCCGUGUAGCCCCACAGACUAGCCACAGUGAUCCUUUGAAAACAGAACUCAGACCAGUUUAACACCAUCCUGUGCCUUCCAACCUACGUAGAACAAAAUCCAUGCCUCUGGUUAUGGUCUACAAGAUCCUGUGUGAUCCCUGUCCUGCUCUUCUCCUGCCGUUUCAGGCCACAGCUCCUUUUCUUGUUCUGCUCCAAGUGCUCAAACCUUUUCGCAUUAUGGAACCAAGACCAACUUUGUUCCCAUGUCAGGACCAGUGUGCUUACUGUUCUCAUGCCUUCUCCAAAGGUUCAUACAGCUGACUUGCCAUUCAGGUCUCAGUUCCAAUGUUACAUACCCUCAUCAAGUCUUUCCCCGACACCUCUCACUAAAGUGCCUCCCAGUAGGCUUCAAGCAGUCAUCACCCUUAAAAUAUUUUGUUUGGGCUUUAUUUGCAUAUUUCCUAGCUUCUCAACUAGAAGCCAAGAUCCAUGAGGUCAUGGAUGGUAUCCUGAUCCCCGUGGUAUCCCCAGUACCUAGUACAAUAUCUGUCACAAAGCCACACUCAGAAACACUGAUGAGGUCAAUUAAUUUGGGUUGAUUUAUACAGUCUCAAAUUUCCUGGUUCUAUUGUUUAAUCAGAAUCUAAAGAUUCUGGUUUCAUUGUUUAACUUUCCACUUACUCAUCUACCAAUCUGUCCAUCAUCCAUUCAUCCAACCAUUAUCCAUCCAUCCAUUCAUGCAUCCAUCCAUUCAUCCAUCCAUCCAUCCAUAUAUCCAUCCAUCCAUUCAUGCAUCCAUCCAUCCAUCCAUCCAUCCAUCCAUAUAUCCAUCCAUCCAUUCAUGCAUCCAUCUAUCCAUCUAUCCAUCCAUCCAUCCAUCCAUUCAUAUAUCCGUCCAUGCACUUAUCCUUCCAUGCAUCUAUCUAACCAUACACAUACACCUUCACACCCAUCCACCAAACCAUCCUUAGCACCUACUCUGUGCUUGGUGCUGAGGACCGAGGUUUAACCAGGACAUGAAAUCUACCCUAGAGAAACUCCCAGCCUUGUCCUCCUGUUCCCUCUGUUCCCCAUACUGUGAGCUGCUCCAGGUAGAAACUACACUAACCUUAUAGAUAGACGCAGGCAAAGUUCUAGGAGUUCAAAGUUCAACCUCUGCCUCCUAGGAGGCUGCUCCAGUUUGUAUAUAGGUCUACGCCUUCUUGGGCUUUAGAUUUAGACCUUCACUGCUUUUUUCUGUGCCCUGGUCACCGUUGGCUGACCCCCGGGGCAGAGCCAACAAAUUUAACCAGAUCCUAGGCUCCUCCAGAUAUAAGGGAUUUGAGGAGAAGACUCUGCUCCAUCUUGAAGAGUCAGCUAAAGCAUUUCAAAAUUCAGAAUGAAUUUCUGAGGGCCUGAUGUGGGGUGUGAUCUUUGUGCUACAAAACAAGAGGAAGGAGAAAGAUAAUGCCUGGAACAGGAAAGAACUUCCUGGGGGAGUUAGGGCUAGAGCUGGACUCAAAGGAAGGGGGCCCUAGGGAGGAGGAGUAAGGGUGAGAAGUAUGAUGCAGAGGCAGGGAUGAGUGUAGUAUGAAUUUGGGCUGUGAGUGGGGAAGCACAAGACUAGUAUCCAGUGAACUCCUACUCAUCCUUCAACACCCAAUCCAAAUGACUCCCACUUGAGAAGCCUUCCCUAAAUUGCCCACUCCCAUCCUCCCGUUCUCCCAUUCUCUUCAGACAGAGAGAAUAAUGAUGGAAAUGGUGAUGUUAAUAAUAAUCAUAACAGUUAGCUAACAGCUUCCAUGCCAGGCACAGUAAUAAAUACCUUGUGUCUAUUAUCUCA